rnacentral:ncRNA from 1 species
CCCCUAUUAUUACGUAUUCAUGAGAAAUGUUACUUAUUAAUUCAUUUAAAGUGAACAGGAAUUCUGUGAAAUUAAUAGAUGGUGAGCUAUAUAAACAUAUUAUUACUAUUUUAGUGUUUCUAUUUUCUAUUUUCACGAUGAUUUUAUCUCGAUCUACUUUGAUAGGAAAAACUGUGACUGAGUUAUUUCUAAUUACAACAGCACAUAGAGGUUGUGCAUCUGCAGCAAUAACAAUGUCAUUCAUUGAACAACCUAUUAUUUUGUUGUUAUUAGAAUAAUAUGGUUCUUGAAUGAGUAUAAUGUCCGGUUUUAAGUCAAAAGCUACUCGAGAAAGAUUAUCAGCGGCAGCGCGUGUAUGUGCCAAGUUUAUUUGCAUAAUUUUUAGAUUUGAUGCCAUAUUUAGUUAACUUUUUUUUUUUUUUUUAGUAGGUUGUGCGAGCUCGCCUUUUUUCUACCUGCUGUUUGUAGAGAGGACAAGUAACAUCAUAGAAAGAAUGAUCAGUUGGUAUUGUUGUACCAUUCCUCUCGUUUGACUUGCUGCAAGCUGAGCAUUUUUUUUCAUUUGUACAUCUUUGCUCAUGUUGUGUGCUGCAACGGCCACAAACCGGUUCAGCCGCCUGACAAAACCGGCGCGUGUGUCCAUAUUGACAGCACCCACCCGACCCGUCUUGAAACACGGACCAAGGAGUCUAACAUGUGCGCGAGUCAAUGGGUCCCUCAAAACCCAGAGGCGCAAUGAAACGUGAAGGCGCGGCCUCGUGCCGUGCCGAGUUGCGAUCCCGGGCCGCCCAGGGGUCCGAUGAAGGGAGCAGCAACGGCCCGCCCCACACGCUCACGUCGUGGGGGCGGCGCUAGAGCGCACACGUUGGCACCCGAAAGAUGGUGAACUAUGCCCGGGCAGGACGAGGCCAGAGGAAACUCUGGUGGAGGUCCGAAGCGCUUCUGACGUGCAAAUCGAUCGUCCGACCCAGGUAUAGGGGCGAAAGACUAAUCGAACCAUCUAGUAGCUGGUUCCCUCCGAAGUUUCCCUCAGGAUAGCUGGCGCUUGUUGCGGAGACCAGUCACACCUGUAAAGCGAA